rnacentral:lncRNA from 1 species
CUUGACCUUACUCACUCCCUUAGUCAUGGAGUCUCUACUUUUAGGUCUGCUGUGGUGGCGGGAUCCUGGGAGGUGAGCCAUUUAUCCCCCUGUGGUUCAUGACCUUUAACUGGGCUUCCCGCUUUGUUUCCGUCUCCUGUGGGGACCCUCUUGACAGAGUGGGGGUGGGGGACAGGGACAAGCCAGUGAGUCCAUCAGUGUCUAAGGGAGGCUUCCCUGCUUGGUCCAGCACGGUCCCCAUGGCCUACCCCCGGGCUCUCCCACAUCUCCUCCCGAGCCUCCUGAACGUCUCUGUCCCUGACUCACCCGUCCCACAGUGUCAGGUGCUCUCCCAGGACACGGCCCUCCUGCUGGGCCAGUGCUGCCCGUGCUCGGUGUGCAGAGUCAGACCCGGACGGCCUGCAGUGCUCAUGGCCACGGCUCUAGCAUGGAGCUCAUCUCCUGGCCACGGAGGAAGACGCAGGAAAAGGUUCCAAGUUUAGGCAUAAGUCUUUGAGCUGCCACUUCAAGGGCAGCUACUCCUGUGGGUCCAGGUUUAUUUUGCGGAGUUCUCUAAGGCCAGAAGUCAUCCAAGGCCAAACAAGAUGGCAUGUCAGCAUGGCAUCUGCGUAUCGUGGAGGGAAGAUGAGAAGGUAGGCCUGAGGUGGAGCCAAACGUCACCCCGAGGCCCAUUUCCCCUCCCCUUCCUUUCUGAUUGCUAGGUUUGUUCAUAGAGGAUUACCCUGAGGUUGCAAAAGUGACAACUCCUUCUUCUUCGCGACAGCAUACGGAACAAUCUGGAUUGCCUUGCAGAUAGAAAGCCGUUCUUAAAUGGCCAGUUGUCUGAUGGCUGCAAACCCCAAACCCUGUGGCUGCUUUUGGUGCUAAAUCCCCCAAUAUCUGAAACUGGCUGUUCUUUUCAGGGGAGGGGACAGUGGCUGUAAGCAGAGGCUGUUGGUUUGCAAAGCUCCUUUGUGGAGACUACUCUCUCUGCUGCACUUCUAAUUUCAAAGUGCUGCUCGGCUUUAAAGUAGUCAUUUCUGUACUGGGCUCUUCUCUAGGUCCAGAGCCUACUGUCGG